rnacentral:tRNA from 1 species
GAAUCGGUGGUUCAGUGGUAGAAUGCUCGCCUACCACGCGGGAGGCCCGGGUUCGAUUCCCGGCCGAUGCA